GUAAUCUGUCCAGGAUUUUGGUGCCAGCCCUUGUUUAAGAGUUUCAUGCAGGAUAUUUAUCCACAGCUCUCCAGCUGAAACGUCCACAUAAGGCUUGAGCUUGACCUUGGAUGGAAUGUCCAUGGCCUCUAGCUGCAACCGUCAAGUCAGACGCAUAUCCCAUGCUGAAAAUAUGGUUUAUCGUGUUCGAAAUAUCGGAGACGGAUUUUGGAUGUAAGACAGCUAAUGGGUAUAAAUUGUAUCUGUUUCCAAAAUCGGUUGCUGCUUUAUGAUUAUUGUCAAAGCUGAGGUAUCCAUCCAAUUCCAGUGUUUGCAGUUCAUAAGAGGAUAUAUCAGAGGAACCAAAAUGGGGAGGAAUUGUUGGGGCUGCAAAAAGGUGGUUGGUGCUGUCAGAGUGAAUGGCGGGCUGGCCCCUACUCUGUUUCAUGCUUCUUCAAGCUGAGUGUCUGAGGAGUCAGAUAUCUUGGACCCACUUCAUUUUUUUCUUCACAAGAGUAUAUAUUGUGCUUUGACAGCUCUUACCAACGAGCUAUAUAGUUCUUUCUAUAUAAUUUUCAUGAAUUUCUUACAUGUUCAUAUUUAGCUUUGUAUAUGAUCAUAUUGAGGAGGUCUGUCGAUUUUUAUCGUUAUGGUAUAGAUAUGAGAUCAAACCAUCAAAAGCUUAAAAGGGUAAGCACAAUCUAGAUUACUUACUACAAAUUUUGGUCGAAACCAUCGUAAGGGGCUCUCGAUGCCGAUCUUUGUAAGGUCAAAGACUCAGUACAUAUGCACGUGAACUAGCUCAAUAGUAGUUCUUAGAAAAAGUAAAUAGAAUAAGCAUGAUAGCUAUGUUGAAGGUAGACAAAUAAACAUAUUUCAAAGGGGAAAUAAAAAUCGAAUGUAGAAACCGUCGAUUCUUUUACGUCUGUUCUUAAAUCUCUUCAUUCACUGUGUUCUUGAUUAUAAAUUUCAAAAGGUUAUUCAAACAGUGAUGGUCAAUGUUUUGUUAUUCUCUCAAUUGCAUUGAACUGCACCUAGAUUUUGAUGUAUGUUUUUCUUUGAUUCAGGGACUAAAAGUUGUUUUUUUCCCUUUCUAGGUGCUGAAGAAGAAGUGUCAGAAAAGGAAAGAUGAAAGAUAUAUGUAGAUGGAAUGAGUUCAGAGAAGCAGCAGCAAAGAAAGCUCAAUUUACUGCAUGUAUAAUUCCUUAGCUUUUUUGUGGACUUAAAAAGGUAUGUGGCUUCAUCAUCAAACUUCUAAUGGAGGGUAAGAGAGAGAGAGAGAAGAUUGGGAAGGGGUGGGGCCAUAGACAUGUGAUCUGCAUAAGGAGGGUAGUGGCCCAAGAAAAGGAAGGGAUUGAAAAGAGGAGGAGGAGGCUUAGAUAAAGAAUGUUGAGGGUAUGUUAAUAUCAAGAUUAUAAAAUUCAUUCAUUGUUUGAUUGGAUAGCAUUGAUUCUAAUUUCAGUAUCACUUGCC